rnacentral:tRNA from 2 species
AGCUAAGUGGCGCAGCGGAAGCGCGCCGGGCUCAUAACCCGGAGGACAACGGAUCGAAACCGUUCUUAGCUA